AGGAUAUAAAGAUUAAAGUUUAGUUGUAAUUGCAUAAUAGAGGGAUAAAAUGAUAUUAGACCAUUUUCAUAUAAAAAUAAAUGCAUAUUACAUAAUAGUAUAAUACCGAACUCAUAUAUUGCACGAGAUAAUAAACUAGUUAUUUAACUAUGCUAGCCUUGUGAUACAAGAUCAAACUUGUCACAUGUCUAUAAGUAAUACUAAAAAAACACACAUCAUUUAAGAAAAGUCGCAAAGGUUGAUUGUUUCGAAGGAAAGGGUGUGAGAUAGUUAUAGCAACCUGUCUGGGCCUGCUGUUUUUUCUGCCUCACUAAAUAGUUUGUUUCUGCAAUAAAACAAAGCAAACACAAAAAAAAAAAAGAGAGAGAGAUUAAAUGAAGAAACUAAGCUUGUAAUCUCAACCUUGCAAAUUACAUGCUCUAUAAAACAUAAAUCAAUUCUCAACCCUGCAAAUUACAUGCUCUAUAAAAUAUAAACACAAAUAAAUGUUGUGUGGGUCGGAAUUUGUUAUUGGAGCAUUUAUUACAUUCAACUUGGAAGUCAAGGUCUCAAAAGAAACUGGUGUUUUUUCUCAUACUUGACAAAAUCAAACUGUAUUAUAAUUUUUUGUCAUGUCAUCAGUCCAAUCUUUUAAGCUUUAAAGCACGUAGAAGAAGGUCAUAAUCAUAAUUUGACCUAAAACAAUUUUUGUUUAAUAUAAUAAUUUGGUAUUUGAUUUAAUAAAAAGAUUGUUUUUAAUUAAAAUUGAUUCAAAUAAUUCUGUUUUUUAUCCAAACCAAAACUUAAUUCAAUGACAAUGAAAUAUACUAUUCAUAUUGGUAAUUUAAUGGUAUAGAUUUUACUUUUUAAGUAAAUAAAAAUGUUGCAAAGAAUAAAAAUGUUGCAAAGAAUACUAUACUAGUAGAAGGCGUAGGUUAUGACUUGAUCCAAUAGAGUCAAAACACCUUUCUAUCUAAAAGGAAUGGUGCUCGAUGAAACAAUCCAGAUUCCACACUGUGCUGUGGGCUGGGAAGGGAGCUGCUCUGUGAAAUUGGGCAUUCAAUGUUCUUACGGGGGAACCAUACUAGAAAGAGAAUAGAAAGAGCCUUCAAAAAAAAGCGAAUGAGUGAUGGGCAACCUUAGUCUAUAUGUCGCUUGUGAGCCGCCAAGUACCAGUCUCGCAACAGUACUGGCGUUAAAGGAUUGGUCCUUCACUUGCUGAUCGUUCGCGAGUCGAACUCGCUCUCUUGCCACGCCUUUCACUCACUUGCUUUAGUCGGACUCAAUCACUCUUUUUGUUGCAAAGAAUAAUAUGUAAACACAAUCAAAAUCCCCCCCGAAGGUUCAGUGUCUCAAAAUCAAAAUCAGAAAAUUGUUAACAUCAAGAAUCAAAAUCACAAUCAAAAUCAAAAAGCAAAAAGCAAGAAACUACUUCAAAUUGGGUUAACAAGAAAUAGGGUUAACAGCAAACUCACCUUUGAAAUUCAAAGGUAGAAGACAUAGAAGGCUAGAAGCACCCGCACCGUUAGAGCGGAGGUGGAGUCGUGGAGGACUGAACACCGGAGGUGGAAUGGUGGAUCGGUGGAGGUGGGUUUUCGAUUUGGGGGAAAAAAAGGGAGGAGGGAAUGGGUUAGAGAUUUAUUAGAUGCACGGGGUCGGGGAAAUGGGAAAUGGGAAAUGAGAAAUGUAAAUAAUAAAUUUUUAAAAAAAAUAUAUAUAUAUUAA
rnacentral:lncRNA from 1 species